AUUCCAGCUCCAAUAGCGUAUAUUUAAGUUGUUGCAGUUAAAAAGCUCGUAGUUGGAUUUCGGGUGUCAUCUGCCGGUCCGCCGUUUCGGUGUGCACUGGCGGGCGUCAUCUUUCUGUCGAGGACGCGCUCCUGUCCUUUAUUGGUCGGGACGCGGAGUCGGCGAGGUUACUUUGAAAAAAUUAGAGUGUUCAAAGCGGGCUUACGCUUGAAUAUAUUAGCAUGGAAUAACACUAUAGGACUCCUGUUCUAUUUUGUUGGUCUUCGGGACGGGAGUAAUGAUUAAGAGGAACAGUUGGGGGCAUUCGUAUUUCAUUGUCAGAGGUGAAAUUCUUGGAUUUAUGAAAGACGAACUUCUGCGAAAGCAUUUGCCAAGGAUGUUUUCAUUA
rnacentral:rRNA from 1 species